rnacentral:rRNA from 1 species
UACGAAGGGAGCUAGCGUUGUUCGGAAUCACUGGGCGUAAAGCGCACGUAGGCGGAUGUGUCAGUCAGGGGUGAAAUCCCGGAGCUCAACUUCGGAACUGCCCUUGAUACAGCACAUCUGGAGUCCGGAAGAGGUGGGUGGAAUUCCUAGUGUAGAGGUGAAAUUCGUAGAUAUUAGGAAGAACACCGGUGGCGAAGGCGGCGCUCUGGACCGAGACUGACGCUGAGGCGCGAAAGCGUGGGGAGCAAACAGG